rnacentral:piRNA from 1 species
UUUGAUUCCAAUUUGAAAAAA